rnacentral:lncRNA from 1 species
UUGAAUAUCCCAGGAAGGGCUUAUGUCAAUUUCGUCAAUCUUUUCAAGUAACUAUUAAAUUUUGUUUUUUAUAUUGAUUUCUCCUCUUUACUAUUUUUUCCCUUCUAUUUACUUUGGAGUUAAUUUCUUCAUUUUUUCAGCUUUUUAUAGUGGAAUCUCAAGUCAUUAAUUUUAUCUUUUUAUUUUCAGAUAGAAGCAUUUAAAGUUAUGUGUUUAUCUCUAAUCUUUAGCUUUAUCAUACAACUUUUAGUAUGUUCUAUUUUUGUUAUGCGGUUAAAAAUAAUCUCUAUUUCAUGUAUUUGUGUUUUAUCAAUGAAUUAUUUUGAAGUGUAUUAUUUAAUUUAGUAAUUUAGUGUUUCUAGAUAUUAUUAUCUUAAUUAAACUAAGUGUGGUCAGAAAAUAUACCCUACUUGAUUUUGAUUAUUUCUAAUAUUGAGACCUUAUUAAUGAACCAGAAUAUGGCCUGUCUUGGUGAAUGUACCAUGCACGUUUGAAAGUAACAUGUAUUCUGAAGUUGUUAGAUGGACUUUCUAUAAAUGUUAACUAGAUCAAAUUAGUUGUGUCUUUGAGAUCUUCUUUGACUUUUUUGGAGGGGAGGAAUCUAGGUUUUCUGUGAAUUACUAAAAGAGAGGUAUUAAAAUCUUUACCAAGAGUGUAGUAGUAUCUGUUUUUUCCUUUUUUUUUUUUUUUUUUUUUAAUCUUUUUUAGGGCCACACCCAUGGUAUAUGGAGGUUCCCAGGCUAGGGGUCCAAUCAGAGUUUUAGCCACGGGCCUAUGCCAGAGCCACAGCAAUGCCAGAUCUGAGCUGUGCCUGUGACUUACACCACAGCUCACAGCCACGCCGGAUCCUUAACCCACUGAGAGAGUCCAGGGAUCAAACCUGCAACUUCAUGGUUCUUAGUCGGAUUUGUUAACCACUGAGCCACGACAGGAACUCCUCCUUUUUUUUUUAAGGGCUGCAUCCGUGGCAUAUGAAAGUUUCCAGGCCAUGAGUCUAGUCAGAGCUACAGCUGCCAGCCUACACCAUAGCCACAGCAAUGCAGGAUCCAAACCACGUCUGUAACCUAUACCACAGGUCACGGCAGUACCAAAACCCCUACCCUCUGAGUGAUGCCAGGGAUCGAACCAGCAUCCUCAAGGCUACUAUUCAGAUUCAUUUCCACUGCACCACAGUGGGAACUCCCAUUCUUUUCUCACCCAGUUUUUCAGAUGGGAUCAUUUCUAUUGAUCUGUCUCAAGGUACCUGAUUCUUUUUUCACAUUAUUACUAAAAUUGCUAUUGAGUGCCCCCAGUAAGUUUUUCAUUUAAGUACUCAAUUUCCCACUUCCAGAAAUUUCUUAAGCUAUUUCUCUCCUUUGAGAAUUCCUGUAGUUUCAUUAUUUCAAGAGUAUUUUCCUUUAUCCAUGGGACAUAGUUAUGAUAGCUACUUAAAAUGUCUGAUAGCUCCAUCACCUAGUUCAUCUCAUUUUUGGGGUCUUUUCCCUUGAGAAAAGACAUGUUCCUAGUUCUUUGUAUGCUGUGUAGUUUUGAAUUGUACUCUGAAUAUCAUGAAUAUUCUGCUAUGUAGCCUCUCCUAAUAUUCCUAUUAUAACCACCUGGAGAAUGAUGAUGUUUAUUUUAGCAGGCAGUUAAGCCUCUUAGAUUCAGACUUUAAGUUCUAUCUCACCUUCUCUGGGAGGUGGUUGGCUCUCAGUUCACUUCUGUGAGCCUUGGCUAUACUGGUUUGUGUCUUUUUAGUGCACGUGCAAUUCAGGGUUAGAGUGAAACUUGCCCAGAAGGCUCACAUCUCUGUUCAGCUACCAAAUCCUAUGAUAGCCUCAUUGAGACUGUUUCAUGCAUACUUAACAUAGGAUAAGGUGAUAUUUAUUGUUUAACAGAAUUAAGGGGAUUUCUCUUGUGGCCCAGCAGGUUAAGAAUCUUGUGCUUUCAUUGUAGUGAUUGGGUCACUGCUGUGGCGUGGAUUUUAUCUCUGGCUAGGGAACUUCUGCAUGCCACAGGUGCAGCCAAAGGAUCAAAAAGAAAAAGAAUUUAAGGGAUCCCUUUUUUUCACUUUCUGGAAUUUCUCCUUUCUGGAAUUUGCCGCAGAGUUUCUGGCCUGCUGGAGUUGUUAUUUCUGAUUCCUCUUGCCAGACAAAAAAGGUUUAUCUGUCUGCGCAGCUGCCAUUGCUCAUGAUUUUGUGACUGGGAUCCACCCUUGGAGUCAUACAGCACAAGAAAAGUCAGAAGACCAAAAAGCAAAUGGGAAACAUCACUGUGCAGGUCACUUUUCCAAGUUUUGACUCUUCCAUGAUCUGCUAGCUUUUCAGAGACUUCAGGCGGUUGGUCUGUGUGUCUAAAAUUUUGAGGUUUUAGUUUUAAUCAGCAAGAGGAAUGGAUGAUAGAUGAAAGUGGCCUUACCACCGUCAUGGGAGAAUCAGAACCCAUACUGAAUUUUGUUCCUAGAAAAAAAUUGUGUUCAGGGUAUAAGAUCUUCUUAUAAAAAAAUUAGCCAAAUCAUUGUGACAAAAUUCCCUUUAUGUGUAAGUUGUGCAGAACAGAGAAGUGAUUUUCAAACUGUGUCCAUGACACACAGUCACACACACAUACACACACACCCAAUUUAAGAAUUUAGCUGCUGUUAUAUUUUAAAUUUUAUAUUCCUACUAUUCUUUGAAUAUACCAUUAUUUCAAGGACAUGGAGGACAAUAUUAUUUUCCCCCUCUAUUGGGUAAUUAAAGAUAGAAUUGAUUAUAUACAUGAAGUGCUUAGAGCCAUCACAGUUAAGCUAUAUCUGAACUAAAAGUGGUAUUAUUACUCAGAUGUACAACUGAUCCUUAGAUAUUGUUAAAGCUCCUUGGGACCAGCCCUUUGUGAUGACUGAAAUAUAUUUUAGAGUUUUAAGAAUUAACAUUGGUGCCAGCAUUUCCUGUUGUGAAAUUCGCAUAGCAGGUCAGUGACAGCUUUUUUUAUGAAGGCGAAUUUAUGUAAUGAUAAAAUAUGUAAAAAUAAAAAGACACAUUAUUGCUGAAUCAUGUGCAUUUUGGAAAUAGUACAGUGUUUGUUAUCAUUUUUUGGAAUCAGGUUUUUGUGAAUCAUAUAUGUAUUUCUACUUUUUUGUGGUAAUGAUUGAUGCUUUAGGAAAUGAAGAGGGCAGCAAGGCCAUUUUAUGUAACAAUGAAAUUAAAUUAUUUUUUAAAAAAUAAAGGAUGCAUGGAUAUGUGAUAAAACAUAAGAUUUCCAUAUGCUCAAGAAACCCUUCUGACCCUGAAUUGGAUCAAGUUAUUUAAACAGGGCACAGAUAAGGAGCUUAUUGCAGGUCAGGUGAAAGAAUUUCCUGAGCAUUUAUUAUUCUUGUUUGCUUCUCGAAACUGGGGGUAUAAAAAUAACAGUUUUUCUGAGUUUAUAUUAUUUAUAAAAUGCACCAUUUAGUUAGCUAUUUUGUUAUAUAGCAAGCAUGAGUAAAAAAUGUUUACCUGAUUAAUCUUUAUUGUGUCAAAUUACCUCAAUGUUUUGCAUUUAAAAAUUGAGAUAUAAUUUAUGUUCAGUAAAACGCACAAAUUUUGUGUAAAGCCCAGUGGUUUCUGAAAAUGCAUUGUGUAUUUACAUAAGCUAGAUAAGGAUGUAGAAUAUUUCUAUCAUCCUUGAAACUUCUUUCAUACAUUUUUUCCUUUGGGAGUCCUCCAUCACCCGGCCACAGUUAAUCACUUUUGUCGUUUGUCAGUACAUACUAGUUACCUGUUCUUAAACUCAUAAAUAAAGUAAUACAGAAAUAAUACUUUGAGAUCUCUAUGUAUGGUAUAUAUGAGUAAUUUUUGCAUUUCCUUUGUUGAGUAGUACCCAUUUUAUCAAUAUGCCCCAGUUUGAUGAUCCAUUUUUCUCAUGCUCACUCGCUUCCAUUUGGGGGUUAUUGUAAGUAAAAUUACUUGGAUCUUCCUUGUACUCAUAUUUUGUGGAUAUAAUCUACAUUUUUCAUAUAAGUUCAUUAUAAAUUAUUUUGAAUAUAGCACUUUGUCUCUUGAAUUUUUUUUUCAUUUCAACUUUCAGAGAUACUUGCUAUACGGGGAAAAAACGGCCCCAAAAUGUAGAAGUUAUAGUAAAAUAGAAUAUUGUUUGAAAGACUAUUUUCCCUUUUGCAAAACAUAGACUGUCCAUAUUUGAUUCUUGUCUACAAAUGAUAAGGAAAAAUUAAAUUUUGUAAAUUUAUUAAAUGCAUAUGCAAAUUAUUACACCGAAUUUCAUACAUGUACAUGACAUUCUCAUAUUUUUCAAAUAUGAGACUAUUUCACCUCCUGAAGUCCAACUAUGUGGUUCCAUACCUUUUCUCCACUACGGUAUUGCACUGUAUUGUAUGAUAAGCAGUUUAUGUGUCCAUCUUCCUAUGAAACCAUAAUCUCUUUGGAGACAAAGACCAUCUGUGUUGGUCCCUAGCAUCUAGCACUUUGCCUGGCUGUGUACACGAUAGGUACACGUUACACGUUCAGUGAAUUGAAUAAGUGUCUUUUAUCUGAGAUGUUUAUUUGCCUUGGGAAAGCCGUCUUUGCUACGGAAACAUAACACUUAGCUUUCGCUCAGGGGUUGACUAUUCCCUUUAUGUCUUAAGUCUUUUGUUUAGAACAUGAGCUGACUCGUCUGAAUUUCCUGUUUAGGUAGGGUGGGCUUUUGAUGAAAAUGCACACUACCCAAAAUGUAUAAAAGAUUUGUUUUAUUUAAUGUUAUGGUAAACGUCACUGAUAGAUCAUUGAGGAAAACAACUUCAAGUGAAGACAUUCCAUGUAUAUGCUAUAUAUGCAUACACACAUAUAUUACAUUAUAUAUAUAUUAUAUGUGCAUAUCUCUCUCCCUCUAUAUAUAUAUGUGUGUGUGUAACCCGUCUUGGCUUCCAGAGUAUAUAUUAGUGCUUGACAUAUUUAGUGCAUGUAAUAUAAAUACCAUUUUAUUUAUCUUUUUUUUAAUAUUGGCAAAAGACAUGGUUAUGUGUUUUGGACAAUUAAAAGACCUUGAAAUUGUGCAUGAUCUUCAUUAUACUGGGAUUUCUAUGUUGAAUCAAAGGUCAUUAUUCUAAUCGUCUCAGAUUCCUUUUUUUCCCCCCUAAUAGACCUUAGCAGUGCCCAUCUGUCUGUGGUUCACAGUGUAACCUUUUUUGAUAGGGGCAGAAUGGCAGAUGGGCAGCAGAUGGGAGUUGUGCGCUGCAUUUUGGUUCAGAUCCUGGCCCGGACAGAAACUAUCAGGGAUUGUCAGUUUGUCCUCACAGCUUGUGGGCUCCAGGACUGUGUUUGGCAUCCCAACCAAGGGCCUGAAUUGAUGAUGAGCUGGACCAGCUGUUGGUCAUUCUGACUCUUUAAUGGUUAAAGCUUAACAAUAAGGGCAGGGGACAGCCAGUGGGUCUGUCGAACCCAAGGACAUUUUCCUUUCUAUUUCCCUGUAUACUGGAUCCUCGGACCCCAGAGUCAGCUUGUUCUCAAGAUUGAAGUGGCACGUUGAAGAAAACAGUAUUAUCACAUGGCUGUUUGCCUAUUUUCAAAAUGUAACUCAGUUUCCCCAAAGUCCUUGCUUCUGUACAAAAUCACAUGAGGAGGUGAGAGAGAGAAAGACAGAGUCUUGACUCUUCAACCAAACGUUUUUAUCUAAAUUGCUGGACAGCUUAUCAUCUGGAAUUCUUAAGGAUACUGUGUGAUUAAAACUUGGACUAAUGAUAAAGUUUUGAAUGAUAAUGUUCAUUAAGUGUAACUGCUUCUACCAAAGCCUUAAAAGAUAGUUGAUGAGACUGCUGGUCUUUCCAAGGGGAAGAGGGAAGUUUUUAUUCUGAAUUAUCAGUGCAUAUUCCGUAUUUGUUUUUAAUGUGUACGUAAAUUUGCUGCCUUGCAAGUGGCUUUCUUCAUUUUAGAUGGAAACCAGAUUGGAGUAAACAGAUGAAGUUGGGUAAACCCUCCCGAUGGAGGGUAAUACUUGGCAGUAACUAUGAAUAAAAGGCAGUAAUGAGUCAAACUGUAUGCUGAGCAGGGAUUUUUAUUGUUAUUACUUAUUUAAUUUCUUUAGACUUGGAGCAUCACAGAGAUCAUACUGUGUAUUUUACUUAGCUGAGUAAAGAAACUUGGUAACACAAGCAUUUAUGUAGCAGAUUUGAGUCUAUAGAUCUCUAAAUAAUUGUCUAUGGUAAGUAUAGACAACUAUCACACUUUAUACCAAGCCAUCACUAAGUUAUCACCCAGGAUUAAAAGAAAGGCCUAGAAUAUUCCAUCCCUUUCCUGUACUGUGAACUAAAUUGAAAUACUGUGCCCUGCUGGUUAAUGGCAUUUCGGUUCAUACAGUAGGUAGACUCUAACAUGAUUAUACAUUAAUAUGAAUCAUUCACUUUUGAAUAUUUUCUUGUGUUCUGAGAGUCAGUGGUUGCUUGCACAUGUGUAAUAAAUUGUGGCGUUUGAGGUUAUCUCAGUAGCAUCGGGAUGUUAGGCUCAAAUGACGUUUGCAGCAGUUCAAGAAAUUCCGUCAAUCUAAUUUGUAUAUUUGCAGUGUUAACCACCAUAGGGCACUUGAAAAUCUAGAUUAUAACAGAUAUGGCUGGGCUGUCAGUUACCUAAACCUUGAGUAAUUGCCAAUAUAUUAUAAAUUGAAUAUACAUUACGUUCUAUGUGCCAUCAGAUAUUCUUUUAUCUUUUUUGUUUUCUUCUUUCGUAACUUAAAAAAA